rnacentral:rRNA from 1 species
CACGAACUGCGCAAACGUUAUUCGGAAUCACUGGGCUUAAAGAGUCCGUAGGCGGCUCGGUAGGUGAGGUGUGAAAUCCCACGGCUCAACCGUGGAAUUGCGCUUCAAACCACCGGGCUUGAGGGAGAUAGAGGAGAGCGGAACUGAUGGUGGAGCGGUGAAAUGCGUUGAUAUCAUCAGGAACACCGGUGGCGAAAGCGGCUCUCUGGGUCUCUUCUGACGCUGAGGAACGAAAGCUAGGGGAGCAAACGGG